rnacentral:rRNA from 1 species
UCCUGGGGAAGGUUCGUCCGCCCAGGGUUAGUCGGCCCCUAAGUCCAGGCCAUUCAGGCGUAGGCGAUGGGAAGCAGGUUCAAUAUUCCUGCACCGCCGAUGGGCGAUUAAGACGCGAUGGAGUACUCGGAAAGUUAGAUCAGCCGUCGAUUGGAAGUGACGGUUCAAGCCCGUAGGGGUGUGGCCAGGCAAAUCCGGCCGCGCAACCUGAAAGGUGAUGAGACGUGGAGGCUUCGGCCGAAGCGGAUUGAUUGACACUCGGCCGACAAGAAAAGCUUCUAGCGAGCCCAUAGGCGACCGUAUCGGAAACCGACACAGGUGGGAGGGUAGAAUAUACCAAGGCGCGCGAGAGAAAUCUCCUUAAGGAACUCGGCAAUCUAGCCCCGUAACUUAGGAAGAAGGGGUCCUUUAGACCGUUCGUGUAACAGCAAAGCGGACUGAAGGCGCAGUGAAAGGGCCCAGGCGACUGUUUAUCAAAACACAGCACUAUGCCAACUCGCAAGAGGAUGUAUAUGGUGUGACACGUGACCAAUGCCGUAAGGUUAAGGCAAGGGGUUAGCCGCAAGGCGAAGCUCUGAACCGAAGCCCCGGUGAAUGUCGGCCGUAACUAUAACGGUCCUAAGGUAGCGAAAUUCCUUGUCGGGUAAGUUCCGACCUGCACGAAUCGUGUAACGAUCUGGGCGCUGUCUCAACGAGGAUCUCGGUGAAGUUGUAAUUCCGGUGAAAAUGCCGGAUACCCGCAGUAGGACGGUAAGACCCUGUGAACCUUUACUGUAAUCUGAUAUUGGGUUUUGGUUGGUUAUAUGUAGCAUAGCUGGGAGGCUGUGAAGCGAUCUCGUCAGGGACCGCGGAGCCGUCAGUGAAAUACCAGUUUUAAUUAACCGGAAUUCUAACCGCGAGCCGUGCAACCGGCUCCGGGACCGUGUCAGAGGGUCAGUUUGACUGGGGCGGUUUCCUCCCAAAAGAUAACGGAGGAGUUCUAAGGUCACCUCAGCAUGGUCGGCAAUCAUGCGUAGAGCGUAUAGGUAGAAGGUGGCUUGACUGCGAGACCCACAAGUCGAGCAGGUGCGGAAGCAGGACUAAGUGAUCCGGCGGUUGCUAGUGGUAGCGCCGUCGCUCAACGGACAAAAGGUACUCCGGGGAUGACAGGCUUAUCGCCGCCAAGAGUCCAUAUCGACGCGGCGGUUUGGCACCUCGAUGUCGGCUCAUCACAUCCUGGGGCUGAAGAAGGUCCCAAGGGUUUGGCUGUUCGCCAAUUAAAGUGGUACGCGAGCUGGGUUCAAAACGUCGUGAGACAGUUUGGUCCAUAUCCACUGUGGGCGUUGGAGAUUUGAGGAGAACAUUCCUUAGUACGAGAGGACCGGGAAUGACGCACCUCUGGUGUUUCGGUUGUCGCGCCAGCGGCAUCGCCGAGUAGCUAUGUGCGGAAUGGAUAAGCUCUGAAUGCAUCUAAGAGCCAAGCCGACUUCAAGAUUGGAUCUCCCUUGCUGGUUCGCCAGCACUAAAGGCCGGUUGAAGACUACGACUUUGAUAGGGCGGGUGUGUACGUGCUGCGAGGCAUUUAGCUAACCGCUACUAAUCAGCCGUGAGGCUUGACC